UGGGGAAUUUUGGACAAUGGGGGCAACCCUGAUCCAGCCAUGCCGCGUGAGUGAAGAAGGCCUUCGGGUUGUAAAGCUCUUUCGGGCGGAAAGAAAUCGCAUUGGAUAAUACCCAGUGUGGAUGACGGUACCGCAAGAAGAAGCACCGGCUAACUACGUGCCAGCAGCCGCGGUAAUACGUAGGGUGCGAGCGUUAAUCGGAAUUACUGGGCGUAAAGCGUGCGCAGGCGGUUGUGUAAGAUCGAUGUGAAAUCCCCGGGCUUAACCUGGGAACUGCGUUGAUGACUGCACAACUCGAGUACGGCAGAGGGGGGUGGAAUUCCUGGUGUAGCAGUGAAAUGCGUAGAGAUCAGGAGGAACACCGAUGGCGAAGGCAGCCCCCUGGGCCGAUACUGACGCU
rnacentral:rRNA from 1 species